UCCCUGGUGGCUCAGCGGUAAAGAAUCUGCCUGCCAAUGCAGGAGACACAGGUUCGAUCCCUGGUCCGGGAA
rfam:Ovis aries breed Texel chromosome 14, whole genome shotgun sequence.